UGGUCUGUAGCUCAGUUGCUUACAGCACACGCAUGAUCAGCGUGGGGUAAAAAGUUCAAGGCUUGUCAGACCGACAA
rnacentral:tRNA from 1 species